rnacentral:rRNA from 1 species
UACGGGGGGGGUAAGCGUUGUUCGGAAUUACUGGGCGUAAAGGGCUCGUAGGCGGCCAACUAAGUCAGACGUGAAAUCCCUCAGCUUAACUGGGGAACUGCGUCUGAUACUGGAUGGCUUGGAUUCGGGAGAGGAAUGCGGAAUUCCAGGUGUAGCGGUGAAAUGCGUAGAUAUUGGGAGGAACACCAGUGGCGAAGGCGGCUACCUGGACCGGUUCUGACGCUGAGGCGCGAAAGCGUGGGUAGCAAACAGG